UGCUUCCUUCAGUACCUUAUGAGAAAUCAAAGUCUUUGGGUUCUGGGGCGAGUAUUCGCGCAAGCGAGAAAGUUAAAAGAAUUGACGGAAGGGCACCACCAGGCGUGGAGCUUGCGGCUUAAUUUGACUCAACACGGGGAAACUCACUAGUUUAAGACAAGAGUAGGAUUGACAGAUUAAUAGCUCUUUCUUGAUUUCUUGGAUGGUGAUGCAUGGCCGUUUUUAGUUCGUGAAUAUGAUUUGUCUGGUUAAUUCCGAUAACGAACGAGAUCUUAACCUGCUAAUUAGCGGCGAGUACGCUAUAUCCUCUAUCGGGAGUUUGGUUUUGACGUUUAUGCGAACUAUGCUUAAUCAAUUGGUUUACCUUUUGCUCUUUUGCAUAUGCUUCUGCAUUUACUUCUUCCUCUCUUCUGAUAAGGAUGUAUUCGCUUUAUUUAAUGCUUCUUAGAGGAACGAUGUGUGUCUAACACAAGGAAGUUUAAGGCAACAACAGGUCUGUGAUGUCCUUAGAUAUACUAGGCUGCACGCGUGCUACACUGAUAUGUAAAACGAGU
rnacentral:rRNA from 1 species